GCUAUCGUAGCUUAAAUAAAGCAUAACUCUGAAGAUGUUAAGAUGAGCCCUAAUAAGCUCCGAGGGCA
rnacentral:tRNA from 1 species